rfam:Medicago truncatula strain A17 chromosome 3, whole genome shotgun sequence.
GAGCUAUGAUGAUAAUAUAUGUGUUGUUCGGUAACAUCACUUCUCCUGAAACAUUGGAUGAAAAUAAUACCUCUGAGCUC